rnacentral:lncRNA from 1 species
GGAGACGCACUUCCUAAGUUUAUUGCACCCAAUAGGAGACGCACUUCCUAAGUUCAGUUUUUACCAGUAGGAGACGCACUUCCUAAGUUUAUUGCACCCAAUAGGAGACGCACUUCCUAAGCAAGUUUUUACCAGUAGGAGACGCACUUCCUAAGAAUAGUUCACCAAUAGGAGACGCACUUCCUAAGUUUCAGUUUCACCAAUAGGAGACGCACUUCCUAAGAUAUGUUUCACCAUAGGAGACGCACUUCCUAAAGUUCAGUUUCACCAUAGGAGACGCACUUCCUAAAGUUCAGUUUCACCAUAGGAGACGCACUUCCUAAGCAAGUUUCAUCAAUAGGAGACGCACUUCCUAAGUCAGUUUCACCAUAGGAGACGCACUUCCUAAAGUCCAGUUUUACCAUAGGAGACGCACUUCCUAAGUUCAGUUCUACCAAUAGGAGACGCACUUCCUAAGUUUAUUGUACCCACAGGAGAUGCACUUCCUAAGUUUCAGUUUCACCAAUAGGAGACGCACUUCCUAAGAUAUGUUUCACCAUAGGAGACGCACUUCCUAAAGUUCAGUUUCACCAUAGGAGACGCACUUCCUAAGCAAGUUUCAUCAAUAGGAGACGCACUUCCUAAGUCAGUUUCACCAUAGGAGACGCACUUCCUAAAGUUCAGUUUCACCAUAGGAGACGCACUUCCUAAGUUCAUUUCACCCAUAGGAGACGCACUUCCUAAGUUUAGUUCUGCCAAUAGGAGACGCACUUCUUAAGUCCAGUUUUAC